AUUGUACCCUUUGGAUGAUUGUAGGUUAUGUGAAUAUAUCUCAAUAAAAUUGCAUAAAAACAGCAGCAGCAGCAACAACAACAACAAAGAAUAGUAUUAAAAUAACCAUAGAAAUUCAAGAGGCCAGAACAAAAGCUUUUCAAGGGUGGAAUCAGCAGAGUUUGGAGAGCAUCUGGUAGGUUCCUGGAGUCAAUUGUUGGAGCUUGAAAAAAGAAAGUUGGGGACCAUGGACUUGCCCCCCUGGAAGUGACAGCAAGGAGAGGUGAAGUUUCCUGCCAAAGAUGCCUCAGCUGGAGCGUGGAAGAGUUGGGGUUCAUCCAAGAUCCACCCCCCCUUGUCACCACACGGUGCUUCCUCAAGAGAAUCAUGCUAGAGACCAGUUGGGACAAGACCAGCUCUGAAAUCACAUUGGUGGGAGCAGCAUCAGCUUUGGAGCCAGAAGGACUCACUUUCA